rnacentral:rRNA from 1 species
GAUGAACGCUGGCGGCGUGCCUAAUACAUGCAAGUCGAGCGAACAGACGAGGAGCUUGCUCCUCUGACGUUAGCGGCGGACGGGUGAGUAACACGUGGAUAACCUACCUAUAAGACUGGGAUAACUUCGGGAAACCGGAGCUAAUACCGGAUAACAUGUUGAACCGCAUGGUUAAACAGUGAAAGACGGUUUUGCUGUCACUUAUAGAUGGAUCCGCGUCGCAUUAGCUAGUUGGUAAGGUAACGGCUUACCAAGGCAACGAUGCGUAGCCGACCUGAGAGGGUGAUCGGCCACACUGGAACUGAGACACGGUCCAGACUCCUACGGGAGGCAGCAGUAGGGAAUCUUCCGCAAUGGGCGAAAGCCUGACGGAGCAACGCCGCGUGAGUGAAGAAGGUCUUCGGAUCGUAAAACUCUGUUAUUAGGGAAGAACAAAUGUGUAAGUAACUAUGCACGUCUUGACGGUACCUAAUCAGAAAGCCACGGCUAACUACGUG